AAAUUACUGUAGGAUGAAACUCGAGUAGCUGCAGACAAAGUUCUUGGGAGUUUAUUGUUUGUGUGAAAUAUAUUUUGUCUGAGUUUUGCAUGUACUUACCCUUUCUCUCAUCUCUUUAUAGCAGAAGGAAAAUUUUACCAGUCUGGAUCUGCAUGUUCUAACAGAGAAAGGCUUUCAGAAGGUCUAACACUCUGGGACUCAGUGGUACUCCUGAGCAAAGUCAAGGUUUAUGUCACUCUUGGGAUGGACACAACACACAAAGCAACAUGCAGCAACAGGUAAAAUGUUCUUUUAUUGUGUGUUCAUUGGUACAAAGCAGCCAGUGUCACUGUUUUUGGGCAGACUUUUUGCAAGAAUUUUGCAAACAAAUAAUGGUUUCAUUUUUCUAAGUUCAGGUGUCUGAUGUUUUUCUCUGUUCUGAGUUCUGUGUGAGUGACCUUGUCUUCUUUUUCCUUUCACGGGUAAACACAAAUCUUAUCAAUUUCUUCUUCUGUCAGCUCACUCCUUUGGCUCACAGACCAGAUGUCAGCCCCUUCCACAGGUUUAAGUUUCAGAAGAACUGGUAUUGUACAAUCAAUUUCUGAGAAAGACAGAGAAGACAACUAUUUAUUUGUUUGAAACUUGGGAAUGGGCUUCUCUUCUGAAAAAUAAUUAAGAAGCAGAUGCAUUGCAGAAAAUGUCACACAAAAAGGCAUGUCACAUCCUACAUCUCUUUUUUUCCCAUUUAUCUCUUGUUUUUGUUUUUCUCCUGCCAAUCUUUCUCUCUGAAAUCAGGCAGUUCAACACUUUCUAUUCCACUCACUGCCAUUUUCUGGCACUUGAUCGAGUUCUUAAACUUUUCUGAUAAUUGUCUGUCAGCCUAGCACAACACUUUACAAAAUUAAUUGCAUUCUCAACAAUAACAGGCAAUUUGACUCACAUAGCAUCGCGCUGUCACCACUUCAUGUUAAUAAUCUGCCACUUGCCUUCCUGUUCCAGGAAUAUGUAUGCUUUUGCCACCGAAUAUAUUUGCCUUAGACUUUUUUCAGCUCCUUUUCUUAUUUUUUUUUUCUCUACCAUAGGAUUUUCCCCCCAGUACCCCAGUACAUUUUGUAAAAAGCCAAGUUUUAUAGAUUCUUGAAAAAUUGCAAAAAUGUUGGUCGUUUGGGGACGUUUGUAUUAUUGAUGGUUGCUAUAGGUACCUAGAGCAAGUUUUAAAGCUACUCUCUCACUGGUGUCUGUAAAUCCUACAGCUAUUGAGCACAGCUCAGCUUGAUAUGCUCUACAGUAUAUACUUCAGAAUGGAUGAAUAAUUUAUGCAACUGAAUAUUUUUUUAGUGGUUUUGUACCCUUAGGAGAGCAGCUGAAUAUUUACAGUGUUAUUUUGAAUGUUAUGAUUAUUUUCUAUAGUACGUGAAUGUUUUGAAAAAUGUACCAAACCAAACAAAGAGAGCAGUUCCAAUUUAUUCUAUGAAAGGUUUUACUUUUCAAGGAAAGUCUUUGCUUAUGGUAGUGUGGUGGUAAAAUAUAAGUUGCAUAAUUGGAAAGUAGAUAAAGUUCUUGCUGUGCAAGAGUGGUGUUGAGUGAGGAAGGAAAAGAAUGGAAGGAAGCAGAACUAUGUAGAUUGAGAUGUUAGUGCCUCUUACUAGAUACUCAUCAGGGCCAAAGACAUGCUGAAGGUGAUGUGAUAUGUCUUGUACAAAUACAGCAGCAGCUCUGUGGAGGCACAGAAGGGAGCUCAGCAACAGGGGACUCAGUCAAUUUUUGCCUAUCGAGAGGUGCCAUGCGGAAAUCUUUGAGAUUUUGUGAAGCCUGAAAUGGACCACAGGAGGAUUCACCCUCUUUGUGGCAUUCUAUACACUUGACUGCAUUAGGGAUGAGCUAAUGUGUGGUAGUCUACAGGAACCAUAUUGACAGGAUUAAUUCUCAAUCCCUUUCAGUCUUUUUUGGAUGUGGAAGAUUGCCUCUGUAAACAUACAGGACACAGGUUCAAGCUUGGCUUAACAAAAUUCCCCAUCACAUCGCUGGAGGCUGCAAUAAGAAUUCAACAAAAUCAACUUGUUUAAUAAUUUGUGGUGAUGCAAAAAGGUAAAUGGAUUUGCCAUUAAUUUAUAAUACAACUAUUUUACUAAAAAGUGAUGUUACCACAUUUUUGUAAAAUGUUUCAAACAUUUUUCUGAAAAGUCAGGUCAGCCAAAAUAUUUUAGUGCCAAACAUCAUAAAUCAAACAUAACAAAUAUACAGAUACUUAGAAAAUUGUACAGCACACAGCCAUUGUGGUGACCUGUUCAUUGAUUUCUGAAUACCAGAAACAGCAGAUGCAUAACUGGUUCCAGGGAAGGAUUGGAGCCAGAGAAAGGCUGAAUUAGUAUGCUCUUUGUGCUUCUUUCACUUCUGUCUUUUUCAGGAGAUGAGGUUGUAUCAAAGCUGUGUGUCCUGCUUCCUUUGUAACGUGUCCUAGGGAAUCAGGUAAUAACUCUAUCUUCUUAGGAAGGAUUUUGAACUUCAUUUGACACUGUACCAGUUCAAGGAGAAAUGUUCAGGUUUUAGUUUUGCUGUUCACGAGAGACAAAGUCAGGUUUCACUUUUGCUCUUCAGCAAAUGCAGAAAUUUUUUCCUACUUAGGUAGAAGGUGAGUUAAGCUAAUAUCUAGAGAAGCAUCUGAUGAAGGGAAAUGACUGGCAUUUCAGUGAAACCUGUAACUGUUGCAUGCAUGCAGUAAGUGACAAGAAAUAAUAUGUGGCAUUUAGGGUGAUCUUUAGAAUCUUUAAGGCUUUAAGCCUCUAACACAUCUGCAAGAGCAUCUUAGAGAUAAAGAAGGUAGUGAAACUUCCCAGGACCACCAUGGGAAUAGAAUGGCUUAACUUACAUGUAUUGAUACCAAUAUCCUGCUUAAUAUAAAAUUUCAGCACUUCAGCUGAAGCAGAAAAACUCCUCUUGGCUCUUGAGAUUACCCUUCAAAGCAUCCUACACUAAAUGCCAACACUGCAUAGAGAAACAACUGUUGCUACACAACGCACCUCUAUGCACACCUACAAUCUCCUUGUGAUGACAAUGAAAUGAGAAUGUAUUAUUAUACUUGUACAGAUCAUGGGUGAUUUUUUUGAGCAGAUAAUGACACAUACUCCUACUGUUUCAAAUGAUGAGGAGGAGUCAACACGGAGAGGUAUGUGAAAGUAAACCUUAUGUUUGCUCCCCUUACCAAGUGAGCUUACAGAGCAUCAUCUGCUACAAGAAGAAUUUUGAAGUACUGGCUUUCAUAAGCAGCAACUUUUAUAGAUUUUAUAUUGAUAUCGAAACAUGCCAUCAGCUUCUUGUUCCCUUUUAUGUGCAAGUCAGACCAUGAAUACCUCAAAGCCUGACAUGGUUUAGCCCAGGAAGUUUUGCACUUUUCCAACUCCUAUCCUCGUGUUGUGAUGGCUAAGACAGUGUUACAGAUUUUGUGAUAAAAAGCUGAGGAGGAAGACUGUGCUGAUGUAUUUGGUUCUCUUUUUACUUCAGCAGAAAGCAGUAUUGUAGAAGACACAGGUGCUACAACAUUAGUGCCAUGAUACAUUAUUCUUGUUUUCAAGUUUAUAUGUAAUCAUGCAAGUUUUUCAAGGACAUUUUACAGAUUAUGCAUACCACCAUCUGCCUGUAAUUAGAAAUAUCUGUUUGUGUUAUGUGGCAUCAUAUGUGUUAUGUGACAUUAAAUUUCUUCAUUAUGUUAGGAAACACUGAAUAAAGUUUAUCUCAAAACUAGAUAAUACCCAUAGUAUUGAAUAUAGGAGAAAAUAUGUACAGUAAAAGUGCAGUACAGAGCUGAGUUUUGGAUUCAGUAUGAGAAUACCACGUUGAUACCACAGUGAUGUUUUGGUUUGUUACCCUAAAUCCAGGACUUUUCAGUGUCCCAUUUCCUGCGUGGGCACAAGAGACUGGGAGGGAGCAUGGCUGGGACCGGUGACCUGAACUGCCAAACGGAUUUCCAUCCAUAGAAGGCUGAGUCCAGUACAUAAACUGGGAGGAGUUGGCCAGGAGGGCCUGAUCACUGUUCAGGGACUGGCUGGGCACUGACCAACUGGUGAUGAGCAGUGGAAUUGUGCAUCACUUUUUUGUUGCCCAUCCCCCUUUGGCUUUGUUGUUACCUCUCUUUUUGUAAUCUCCAUUUUCUUUGCAAUAAUUAUUCUAUUUUUCAGUAUUUCAAUUAUGAAACUUAACUUCUUGAUGGAAAUAGCUCAGUUGAUGAGAGCAUGAUGCAAAUAACACCAGCAUGGUGGGUUCAGUCCCUGCAUGGGCCAUUCACCUAAGAGUUGGGCUUGAUGAUCCCUUCCAACCCAGACUAUUUUGUGACCUGCAAAUGAAGCUUCUUCUCCCCAUCCUGCUGUGUGGUACUUGGUUGCUGGUUGGGGAUUAAACCACAAGACUUGCAUUUCAGCUGGAAAUAUAUUAUAUUAGAGGAAAACCCUGUCUAAGUUUAUCCACUGGAAAGACUGAGAACCUGUCAGUGCUCUUGAUAAACUUUAGUGGAUAGUUAAAUUUUCUCUUACAAAUGGACACCUUACUGAAUUUCUCUAGGGUCAGUAUUGAUACUGACCUUUUCCCCUCGGCUUUUUUGGGAAAUGUAUUAUAUCCCCUAAAUGAUCUCAAUGAUAAUAUUGCUGCUAUGAGGCUCACAGUACAGUGCUCUGUAGGAAUGUUUUAAGUUUUACAUUAUUGGCAUCACUUUAAAAGCAGACCAGUAUAUUAAGCUUUCAGUCUUAGAAGAUUUUCUUUGAAUUAUUCAAAAGUCAUUUAGCUAAUAUAUGCCAUCUAUAUAUGUGAUUUCCUCUGGCUCUUUAGGUGCUUCAGAAUAACUCCUUAUCACUGUAAAACUGCUCACAAUUAUUACAUCUCUCAUAUCGGUAUAGAAAUUAAAAUACUUGAAGUGUAUUACUACACGGAAUUAUAUACAUGUAAAAUCCAAGUUAUUAUUUAAUUAUACUUUUCCUCAUUUUUGCAAAAAUCUAUUUGCAAAAUCUAUCUAUUAAAAAUUUAUGACAGUCUCAAAGCAUGUAUUAAAUGGUAAUGAAUAACUAUGCUGAUACAAAUGAACAAAUAGUGUUUUGUGUUACUUUUAUUAAAGUUAAUGGAUCAAAACUGAAGUUGUUGGUGUCAGUGAGACUGGUAACUUUACUUUUCUAAGACUUGGCUCAAGACCUGUAUUUCUUGAUUCAACUUGCUCUUUAUUUUUCUUUGGAAGACAGUAGUUUUUAAAUGAUGGUGUUGGCAGAGGUGUAAUAAUAACUGUGCUUGUUUAAACAAUUUUUCAGCUUCCAAGACAGUCGACUGUCCUGUUUUGGAAGGAAUAAAUGCAAACUGUCUUAAGGCUCUCUGCUUAGAACAUGUUCCAGUUGUGUUUCCAGGAUAAUUCAAACUCAGUAAAGAUGAAGCAAGCCACACUUUGAAAGCAAGUCUUUUAAAACCUACUUGUUUAUCUCCACUUCUGGCUUCCUGCAGUAGGCUGUGUCCCUUCAUGUAAAGUGCUAAGUAAAAUCCAUCCAGCAUUGCAAUAAUAUUCAAAACCCCAAUGAUGCUGCCCUCAUUCAAUGCCUAUUGAAACAAAUGGAAAUCUCCAACUAAUUCUAGUGAACUUUGAUCAAAUCUUUCAAGCCAGUGUGAGUAUAUGUACCCCUUCAGAUGUGUUAAAAGUUGUCUGAGAUGGCAUUGAAGGAUGACCAAAAAUAAUUGCAGCAUUUUCAGAAGAUGGAACAGCAACUACGGUCCUGGUAUUUGCAUUAAGGGUGAGCAGAUCUUAUGACUAUGUGGCAUCUCAAAAUCUACUUCUAUCUUUGGAAGAGUUGCAAAAAUAGUUCUGGUUUGCAAAACCUUAUCCAUGUUUUAAUUUAUUCGCUUUUCAAAGUGAUUAUGAACAAAAUUGUGAAAAAAAUAUGUGAAAAGGACCCACCAAAAGGAAUAGAUGUGCACACAAACCCUAGAAGCUACUGACCUACAUGCACCAUUCUGCAUUUUUUCCCUGAACUAGAUUUUCACUGCACAUCUUAAUUUUUGGGAGGGUUUCCUAAUAGCAUUCUUGGGUUUUUUCCACUUUGAUGAUUCUCUUUUCACCCUGUUUGUUGAUUGGAUAAUUUUUUUUGAAACUUCUUUUUAAUCUGAAUUGCUUAAGCGAAAAUGUUUCAAACGAGCAAAAAGAAUUGGGAGUUAUCUUGUUUAGAUAUCAUGUCAAAUGAUGAUUCAUUAAUUGUAGCUAGACUGCAUAAAGGUAUGAGAGAGUAAUAAGGGAUGAUAUCUGGUGUUAGGAAAAAAUGAAGGAGGAAAGGAAAAGGUUUUUUGCAACAUUUUUUACAUUAAAGCAACAACCAAACUAAUUGACUAUUCAUGUUCCCAUAUCAUGGGAUAAUAACAUGUUGAGAUAUUUUAUCUCAACAUAUUAACACCAGGUAAGGGGUUUCUCUCUUGUGUUCUUGAGAAUCCCUAUUCUUAUUAUCACAAUUCAACACUGUAGUGUGUGAUUUGUAUUCCAUUAAUUCCUGGAGGGUAGAAAAGAUCAGGAAAUAAACCUUUCCACACAGGUAAGAUCAGCACAAGUACUGAUUUUAGAACAGGUUACGAAUGAGAAUGAGUGGUGCAGACGGUAUGAGUGAAAUUUGGGGAAGAGGAAAUUACUUCUGUUCAAUUCGAUCAUAGAUUAAAAGCUGAAAACCCAAGUAAAUUCUCAGAUACAAAAUACAAUACCAUAAUCCUUUAAUCACAUUAAGCAAAUAGUAGAUUUUUAUGCCAGGGGAAACCGUCAGGAAUGUUAAAUUGGAUCUCCUGUGCAGCAAAGAGCUACACUUUCCACUGAACUGGGCUAUGUCUUCUGGUUUCCAGAAUCUGGAAACAAUUCUUUAAUUUGGGAUUUAGUUGAGACCAAAUUCACAUUGAAUAUCCCAGACAUUCUACAUAAGCUGAAAGUAAAGCCUUUCUUUCCUAUACAUGACUUGAUCAUUGUCAUGAAUGUAGAUAAUAAAAUGACUUUCCUUAUCUCCUCAGGACCACAAAAAGCAAUUAGCCACAGUGCUAUAUGUAAACAAAAGAACCAUGAAAUCUUCUAACUUAUAAUCACAUAAAUAAUUAGAAGUUUGCUUAUAAAGUUAUAUAAAAUAUAAAACCGGAUUCUUUGUGGGAAUAGCUAAAAAGCCAUUGACAGGAUCCCAUUUCACCAUUGACCAAAAGGAUCACAGAUGUGUAGAUCCAUUAACAAAUGGUCUCUAAUCAGAGGAGGGAUAGAUGAACAAAAGUACUAACUUGUGUCUCAAAGGAGAAUAAUUUCAAUGGCUUGAUAGCUAUGGUAUUCGUGAACAAAUGCAUAUCUGAAUUGCUCUCUUAAAACUUACUAAGAUGCUCAGAAUCUCAGUGAUCAAUGAGAUGCCUAAGAAAUCCAAUUGAACAAAAGGACAGCAUGGGUCAGGGCAGUUUGCUUUCCCUGUUUAAAGUACAAACCAUGGCUGGACAAUUCACGUGGCGUUUUCCUGCUUCUGUACCACCCUGCUCCCAAAACACAACUCCAAAUUUACUGUGGAAGCUUUGCUGGGGCUUAAAGUACUCUUGAGGCACACCUUUGAGUAAUCAUCUGGUUCAGAACAUUUUUAAUUAGAGUUUUGAUGUAUCCUUCAAUUAGUAAAGAAUAAGACUUUUUGUUGCUUAUUCCUUUUACGGUUGUGCAGAAAUAUGCUGUAGGGAUACAAUGGAUUGAUGGAUGCUUUUUGCUUCACUCUUAUGAGUUUUUCUGAGAUGUGGGUUAAAUUAUUCACUUUUUUCCCCUGAAUGUAUAAUUAACUAUGACUUAUACUGAGAUUUCAUUGCAUGGUAACAUAAUGCCAGUUAUUUUUAUGUCAAACAUAUGUUUUUCAUAGUGGUUAAGAUAGUUGUGGGUUGCAGUUAGAUUUUUACCAUGCAGUUAUUUCUUAGAUUUAUGUAAUAACUUGCGCAGAUUUUUUUUUUCCAACUUAAGCUGUGUCAGGAAAGAUAAAGCCUGAAUUGCAGGUAUUACAAUUCUUUAGGGAAAUCUAGUCCAUGUUGCUCUUCCUCUUGAUUUUAUUACCCUUUACUGUAAAUGUAAUUUAUAUUAAAAAAUACAUAGGCUUUUUUGUCCGUGUAUUUUUACGUAAAAAAUACGUAUCAAUAAAACUCCAGCAGAACCACACAGCCACUCUUCCAUUUUAAAGCUUUCAAAAUAAAAUGGAACUUCAGGUUUCUAUCCCAGGGAAAAGGUGACCCUUUAAAAACUGAAGUAGGUAAAUAGAUCUUAUGCUAGCUGGAAUGAAGAAAGCUCUCUAAAAUAAAAUGGAGCAAAAAACAGUGGCACUGUGGAUAUAUAACCUCAGACUUUUGCAGUCUGCAAGUGCUUUCAUGCUUGUGUGCUCUUUACUUCCUUGUCUGACUGAGAUGCAGUGUCCUGUAUGACCAGCUGACCACUCAAUAUUCUACUUUUCCAUAGCACUACCUUCUGACAGGGGAGUCUGCAAAUAUGUGAGAAACUGGGGAAAUUGCAGAGGAGGAAAAAACCCAGUGGCAGAACGGGAAGGCACAGCUAUUGUGAUGAAAUGUCAGAAAUGUUAAACUCUUAUCUCACACACACACAUGGAUGUUAAUUUCAGCUGUAAGUCUAUUACCCAGCACAUCAAUUUAUAAUCUUAUUUCCCUGUAAACCUGCUUAAUUAGCUGAGCAUCUGGGACCUGGUGUUGCUCUGUCCAUUUAUGCAGUCAAAUAAAAGACUUUGUGAGGCUUUUAAUGAAA